GGGUUUGAGAGGCGUGGAGUUGGGUGAUGCAAGAUGAAUGGCUGAGAUGGGAUGAGGCUUUGGGAUCCGUGCAACUAAGAUGGUAUGCUUUGAGAUCUGAGAAAUAAAUAAUUGAAGGGAUUUUAUUGUUUUUGAGAUUAAAAUUGGAUCAUGUGGAAAAAGAGUUGGAACGAGUGGGAAGAAAAUUAGGUGACUGAAUCAGAGGGUCUUGAUUUGCGGGGUGCAUGCGAUUUGGGUUCAGAGAUCAUCCUAAAUCAAUUCGACUU
rnacentral:lncRNA from 1 species